AUACGGAGGAUGCGAGCGUUAUCCGGAUUUAUUGGGUUUAAAGGGUGCGUAGGCGGACGAUUAAGUCAGCUGUGAAAUGCCCGCGCUUAACGCGGGAAGUGCAGUUGAUACUGGUCGUCUUGAGUGCAGUAGAGGUAGGCGGAAUUCGUGGUGUAGCGGUGAAAUGCUUAGAUAUCACGAAGAACUCCGAUUGCGAAGGCAGCUUACUGGACUGUAACUGACGCUGAUGCUCGAAAGUGUGGGUAUCAAACAGGAUUAGAUACCCUGGUAGUCCACACAGUAAACGAUGAAUGCUCGCUGUUUGCGAUAUACGGCAAGCGGCCAAGCGAAAGCAUUAAGUAUUCCACCUGGGGAGUACGCCGGCAACGGUGAAACUCAAAUGAAUUGGCGGGG
rnacentral:rRNA from 1 species